UACGAAGGGGGCUAGCGUUGCUCGGAAUCACUGGGCGUAAAGCGCACGUAGGCGGCUUCUUAAGUCAGGGGUGAAAUCCUGGAGCUCAACUCCAGAACUGCCCUUGAUACUGAGGAGCUCGAGUCCGGAAGAGGUGAGUGGAACUGCGAGUGUAGAGGUGAAAUUCGUAGAUAUUCGCAAGAACACCAGUGGCGAAGGCGGCUCACUGGUCCGAUACUGACGCUGAGGUGCGAAAGCGUGGGGAGCAAACAGG
rnacentral:rRNA from 1 species